CGGGGGAAUGGCUGCUGACCAGCUGGGUCCGGAGCGCGCGCUCCGAGCUCGGGGCUGGGCCCUGGGGCCGGCCCGGGACACCUGCUGCGCCGGCGGCGGCGGAGCGGACGCUCGAGCCCCCGCCCGGGUGCAGCCGCCGCGCACCUGCUCUUGCGGGUGCACGAGCAGCAGCUGGGGCUCCGCCCGCGUCCGCGCCCGCGCCCGGCCUCCUGCGGCCGGGGUUCCUCUCUCAGGGGACCCGGGAGCGGGGGCCCGCGGUUUCCUCCUCUGUGGUUUCUGCGCUGUGUUCUCUUAGACCGCGACGCUUGCGGGCAGGUGGAGUUGGCACCGGGGUGCGAGCAGGGGAGGGGGCCAGGCGCCUGCUGCAGACCCGGAACGGCGGGACGGUCGGCUCCUCGCGAGGGCGCGGCCCCACCCGCGGGAUCGCGCAGAGCUGCAAGUGCCAACGACCCGAGCGCCGCCCGUGGCUGUCAGUUACGAUAACAGACGCGUAUUGACCAUCUCCACUAAGUGAUCUUUUAUCGUUGUGAGCAUACAGCUCAGAGUCAGCGCGUCACGCGUGCUGGGUGGCUGUCGCCACGAGCUGCGGUUUCCCUCGAUCCCAGCGCAAGCUCUACCCGCUGGACAAACCCGUGCCUGCCUCCCGCUUCUGCCGCUUGUGGGUCUCCAUUCCACUUUCUGUUGCCCUGGGCGCCUGCACACGUAACACCUUGACUUCACGGGGUGAUGUCCCGUGCACCUGUUGCCAUGCUGUCUUCUGCAACACACAGAGGGCUGAACACUCUGCUGGCUGGUAGCGCUGUCCUUUGGGCACUUGUGGAAAAGGUCUCAGCAGACAACUCUUCUCCGUCUCGUCCGUGUCAGAAAGGACAACUUCAGAUGAAAAUGUCCUCCAGCGUGUCAUUGGCGAAUGGCAGUCUUUUCCAAAUAAGAAGGUAUUUUUUUCCCCAGACAACCUGAAGAGGCAUGUGAGAACUGCUGGAGGACUUGCUGCUGCAUGACCUGGGCCUCUCCCCUCCAGCCUCUGAUGUGUUUCCUCGCUGCCUGUCCACAUCCGGCAUUGAUGGCAGUGUCUCUAAAGCAAGUGGGAUGGCUGCUGUCAGAGACAGGCCCCUGCUUGCUGAUUCACUUGAAGACAUUUAUUUCUUGCCCACACAACCAGUGCAAGGCAGGUUCUUCUUGCUGGAGAGCUUUGAUCCACACAGUCUUAUAGGAACUCUGGCUGAUGGUGGUUCUGCCAUUGUCACCAAGUGGCUUCCAAGGUCUUCAUGGCUGAAGCCGAGGCAGAGGUACCAGAAACAGCAGGAAGCUGGGAUUGGUGGCAGGGCCAGGACUUGAACUCAAGUACCCAACCAACACCCUUAAGUACUUGGCCAGGUGCUCGUCCAUCAGAUACGAUUUUAAACCUUUCACUCAUAAUACAUAAAUUCAUUUAAAAUUCAAAAUUACCCAUUCCGACUAUGAAAAUUCCCUAUUUGAAUGGGGACAUGUGUGCUGGAGAAAUAAUUUCUGUACCAACCAGAAAUGAUCAUUUCUGAGGCUCAGCCGAUUGUCCUGAAAGAGGUCGUCCGCUUCCAGUAGGUGGCGCUCUUCCUCCCGCGAUGAGCACAUUGCCUCUGGUGGCAGAGUGGCUGAUAAAGAAAUGAUGGGCCCUUCUAGGUUGAGACUUUUUUUCUAUUUGAACAGUUUAAUAAGUUUCUUAAUCAUGUAGUUUAUAGCUUGCUUAUGUCUUACGCAAUUUUAUGUCAUACUUUAAGCUAUAUAUUUCAAUGAAUAAAAUGUACAUUUUUCACCUUG